GGGAGAUUUCCCGAGUGGCCAAAGGGGACAGACUGUAAAUCUGCUGGCUAAGCCUUCGGUGGUUCGAAUCCACCAUCUCCCA
rfam:Clostridium sp. CAG:964 genomic scaffold, scf147